GCUUAUCACCAUUCCAGAUUGAAUAUACCCGAUCUCGUCUGAUCUCGGAAGUCAAGCAAUCUCGGGCUUGGUUAGUAAUUGGAUGGGUGCCCGCUUGGGAAUACCAAGUGUGAUAAGCA
rnacentral:rRNA from 1 species